CUAGCCGUAAACGAUGGGCGCUAGGUGUGGGGAGGGUCAUCCUCUCCGUGCCGCAGCUAACGCAUUAAGCGCCCCGCCUGGGGAGUACGGCCGCAAGGCUAAAACUCAAAGGAAUUGACGGGGGCCCGCACAAGCAGCGGAGCAUGUGGCUUAAUUCGAAGCAACGCGAAGAACCUUACCAGGGCUUGACAUGCUAGUGAAGCCGGGGAAACCCGGUGGCCGAGAGGAGCUAGCGCAGGUGG
rnacentral:rRNA from 1 species